rnacentral:rRNA from 1 species
UGGGGAAUAUUGGACAAUGGGCGAAAGCCUGAUCCAGCCAUGCCGCGUGUGUGAAGAAGGUCUUCGGAUUGUAAAGCACUUUAAGUUGGGAGGAAGGGCAGUAAGUUAAUACCUUGCUGUUUUGACGUUACCGACAGAAUAAGCACCGGCUAACUCUGUGCCAGCAGCCGCGGUAAUACAGAGGGUGCAAGCGUUAAUCGGGAUUACUGGGCGUAAAGCGCGCGUAGGUGGUUUGUUAAGUUGGAUGUGAAAGCCCCGGGCUCAACCUGGGAACUGCAUCCAAAACUGGCAAGCUAGAGUACGGUAGAGGGUGGUGGAAUUUCCUGUGUAGCGGUGAAAUGCGUAGAUAUAGGAAGGAACACCAGUGGCGAAGGCGACCACCUGGACUGAUACUGACACUGAGGUGCGAAAGCGUGGGGAGCAAACAGGAUUAGAUACCCCCGUAGUCCCUGAGCGGGCUGGCAAGGCGCAU